GCCCACGUAGCUCAGUUGGUAGAGCAGCGGUUUCGUAAAUCGCCGGUCGCCCGUUCGAGGCGGGCCGUGGGCU
rnacentral:tRNA from 1 species